AUGCUGCAAACUUUUAUCUCCCGGAUCGCCGGGGCGGUGGAGCGGGAGCGUGCCGGGGCCGCAGCUCGUGGCCGGUGGCCACGCGGACAGGCAGGCGCGGGUGGGGUGGGUUUGCGGGGGGCGCCGCCCGGGGCUUCCAGUGCCCCCGCGCCCCGGGAGCCGCGUCCUGGGGGACUCUGCGGGCUCAGCCGCGCCUCUGCCUCCCGUCGUGACCCUCUCGCCGCGGGUGUGUUUUCCUCAGGUCCAGGUGUUAGUGCAUAUGGCCCGGUCUUUAAGGAGCAACAGCCUCUCAUCUUCUGCGGCAAAUAGGCUGGUGUUGCCAUUGGAAGACUGUGUGAAAACUGUGACAGCAAGUGUGUGAUUUGUGACUCCUAUGUGUGUCCCUGCACACCGGUGUGCAUAUGCGAUGAGUGUAACUAUGGAUCUUACCAGGGCCGCUGUGUGAUCUGUCGAGGCCCUGAGGUCUCUGCUGCCUAUUUUUGUAAGGAGUGCACCAUCCAGGAGAAGGAUAGAGAUGGCUGCCCAAAGAUAGUCAAUUUGGAGAGCUCUAAGAGAUCUGUACCUCUUCUAUGAACUCAAAAAAUACGGCUUCAAGAAGAGGUGAAUGGUGGCUGGCUCCUUCUUCCCCUCCACCUCAAGCUGCUGCAGCUGCCAGAAAAGAUGCCUACUACUACUAGCAGAAAGGGAGCAGAGCCCAGAGCAUCACCAGGAGUGCCUGCUAGUGUACUGGCAGCUUGCCACCCCCUCCUCUCCCUUCACCCAGACACGUGGUAGGGAUGGAAAAGGACUCCUCACAGAGCACUCUGGCACACUGUAUUGGAGAGAAAAACUGAUAGAUUAAUUAAUGGUUUUUCUUGAAUUCGAGAAGCAAAGAUCUGUUCUCCUUAUUGAUAUGUUCUCCUUCAACCAAGAUCUUCUAAAAAGAAAUAAUAUUUUAGCCUUCUGCUUGAGGAGUUGACUGUGAAGCUAUGCCUGGUGAAACACAUGUUCUCGCAGCAGUGCUGGUGGCAGCUGUCCUUGAGGAACCUUCGGUGUGUGGUGGGAAGCUAUCAGAACAAGAAAUGUAGGCAUUUACUCUUCCAGCACUUGUGCUGGUGUCAUGUUAUUUUCCUUCUGAGACACUGGAAACCUGUUCUGUUGCUAUUAUAUUAAUAAAGUUAGUGUUUAUUUUCUGGUUAAAAAAAAG